CAAAGUGGAUCCCUUUGUCGAAAUUGAUCAGACUGAAUACUGAAGGUCUGUGUCUUAUUGAAUGUAAAUUAUAUAGCAGGUUUUAAAAGGACAGGUUUCAGUCCUGGCCCUGCCUCUUAGUCACCAUCUAGAGAAGUUCCUCGCCUCUUUGAGACUCAGUUCCUUUUUCUAUGAUAUGGUAGUAGUGCUUAUACCCAUGCUUAUAUUCAGUAAGAUCAUGCAAGCAAAAGUGCUUUGUAAGUGACAGAAAGCCUCGGUGAGGAUCACUCCUAUCGUUAUUCUUUCCAUCCAGCCGCCUCCUGGAGCAGAUUGUUAAGCUGAUGCGAGUCUGGGCUCUGCCUCACCACUUGCCUUGGAGGUUAAACAAACACAGUUCUUUACAUCAAUGCUUUUGUUCCUGGCCAUCUGGUCUCCCAUCCCCUGCAGACCCAAGACCAUGGGCUGUGCUGCAGCAAAAUGAGGGUGUCCUCAGUGCACUGAGACCCACAUGCCAUGAGAGAUGGUUCUGACUCUGUCACUUAGGCUGGAGUGGAAUGUGUGAUCAGAGUUCACUGUAGCCUCGAUCUCCUGCAUUCAAGCCAUCCUCCCACCUCAGCCUCCCGAGUAGCUGGGACUGCAGGCAUACACCACCAUGUCUGGCUGAAUUUUUGUACAUUUUGUAGAGACAGGGUUGUGCCACGUUGUCCACGCUGGUCCCUAGCUCCUGGACUCAAUCAAUCUGCCUGCCUCAAACUCCCAGAGGCCUGGAACUAUAGGCAUGAACCAUUGCUCUUGGCCAUUUUUAAUUUAAGAGACAGGGUCUCACUUUGUUACCCACGCUGGAGGGCAGUACCCUUACUGCAGCCUUGAAUGCCAAGGCUCAAGCCAUCCCCCCACCUCAGCCUCUCAAGUAGCUGGGACUCCAUGUGUGCAUUACCAUGCCCAGCUAACUGAGUCACCACCACACCACUGUAUG